rnacentral:ncRNA from 2 species
CAAACAAGCUAGGGGUGCCCUUUGGGGCUGAGAUUAAACCCUUAGAACCUGAGACCGGGUUAUACCGGCGGAGGGAAGCUGUUUAUCUGAGGA